AUCUUCUUAGUAUAAUUAGUACUGCUGACUUCCAAUCAGCAAGAUCCGAACCCCUAACGGAAGAAGAUA
rnacentral:tRNA from 2 species